ACACACAAAUGGUUAAGGCUUUGCCACCUACUUUGUGGCAUCUGACC
rnacentral:snRNA from 1 species